AGAACGAACGCUGGCGGCAGGCCUAACACAUGCAAGUCGAACGCCCCGCAAGGGGAGUGGCAGACGGGUGAGUAACGCGUGGGAACAUACCUUUCGGUUCGGAAUAGCUCAGGGAAACUUGGAUUAAUACCGGAUACGUCCGCAAGGAGAAAGAUUUAUCGCCGAAAGAUUGGCCCGCGUCCGAUUAGCUAGUUGGUGGGGUAAAAGCUUACCAAGGCGACGAUCGGUAGCUGGUCUGAGAGGAUGAUCAGCCACACUGGGACUGAGACACGGCCCAGACUCCUACGGGAGGCAGCAGUGGGGGAUAUUGGACAAUGGGCGCAAGCCUGAUCCAGCCAUGCCGCGUGGGUGAUGAAGGCCCUAGGGUUGUAAAGCCCUUUCGGCGGGGAAGAUAAUGACGGUACCCGCAGAAGAAGCCCCGGCUAACUUCGUGCCAGCAGCCGC
rnacentral:rRNA from 1 species